rnacentral:rRNA from 1 species
GAUGAACGCUGGCGGCGUGCCUAAUACAUGCAAGUCGAGCGCAGCGGGGACGGGUGAGUAACCCGUAGAUACCCUCCUAUAACACUCCGAUAACUUGGGGAAACCGUAGCUAAACCGGCUACUUAUAUAUCGCUCCGCGCUGAAUUAGCUAGUUGGUAAGGUAACGGCUUACCAAGGCCACGAUGCAGAGCCGACCUGAGAGGGUGAUCGGCCACACUGGAACUGAGACACGGUCCAGACUCCUACGGGAGGCAGCAGUAGGGAAUCUUCCGCAAUGGGCGAAAGCCUGACGGAGCAACGCCGCGUGAGUGAUGAAGGUCUUCGGAUCGUAAAACUCUGUUAUUAGGGAAGCGGUACCUAACCAGAAAGCCACGGCUAACUACGUGCCAGCAGCCGCGGUAAUUC